rnacentral:rRNA from 1 species
GAUGAACGCUGGCGGCGUGCCUAAUACAUGCAAGUCGAGCGAACAGACGAGGAGCUUGCUCCUCUGACGUUAGCGGCGGACGGGUGAGUAACACGUGGAUAACCUACCUAUAAGACUGGGAUAACUUCGGGAAACCGGAGCUAAUACCGGAUAAUAUAUUGAACCGCAUGGUUCAAUAGUGAAAGACGGUUUUGCUGUCACUUAUAGAUGGAUCCGCGCCGCAUUAGCUAGUUGGUAAGGUAACGGCUUACCAAGGCGACGAUGCGUAGCCGACCUGAGAGUGGCGCGGCACACCUGGGGACGGAGACAGGGCCGAGACACCGGGGGGAGGAAGCAGUAGGGAAUCUUCCGCAAGGGAGAAGAGCCUGACGGAACAACACGGCGUGAGUGAUGAGGGCCUCAGGAUGGAAAACCUCUGUAAGAGGGAAAGAAAAAAUGUUAAAUUAACUAUGCAGUUCUUGACGGUACCAAAAAAAAAAGCCCCGGCUAACUCCGUG